UACGUAGGUGACAAGCGUUAUCCGGAAUUACUGGGCGUAAAGCGCACGCAGGCGGCGCGGUAAGUCUGAUGUGAAAUCUCCCGGCUUAACUGGGAGGGGUCAUUGGAAACUGCCGAGCUUGAGGCGAUGAGAGGGGUGUAGAAUUCCCGGUGUAGCGGUAAUAUGCGUAGAUAUCGGGAGGAACACCAGUGGCGAAGGCGGCUGCCUGGGGUAUUGCCGACGCUGAGGGAACGAA
rnacentral:rRNA from 1 species